AAUUAACUACAGAUUCUGAAUUUGGUCUCUUCAGGAAAGUUUUACCUUUUUGUCUUAUCUUUCAUUUGGUAUAUGUUAGGCUUAAUUUCAAUGAUUACAAAAUAAGUUAUGAUACUUUCAAUACAGACUGUCCUGUUGGAACCUAUUCUGUAACGACCCGAAAUUCGGACCGCUACCGGCACUAGGAUCCAGAUCGACUUAAGGUCGCCGGGACCCGUAGCAAGUAUAACAUACAUCCUGUAUACCUGUUAAAUCCCAUACAUGAUCAUACAUAUACAUAGAACAGAAAACUUUUUCUUUCCUUUACCAAGCUUAAC
rnacentral:lncRNA from 1 species